rnacentral:rRNA from 1 species
AUUGAACGCUGGCGGCAUGCUUUACACAUGCAAGUCGAACGGUAACAGCACUUCGGUGGCUGACGAGUGGCGAACGGGUGAGUAAUACAUCGGAACGUGCCUAGUAGUGGGGGAUAACUACUCGAAAGAGUAGCUAAUACCGCAUGAGAUCUAAGGAUGAAAGCAGGGGACCUUCAGGCCUUGCGCUACUAGAGCGGCUGAUGGCAGAUUAGGUAGUUGGUGGGAUAAAAGCUUACCAAGCCGACGAUCUGUAGCUGGUCUGAGAGGACGACCAGCCACACUGGGACUGAGACACGGCCCAGACUCCUACGGGAGGCAGCAGUGGGGAAUUUUGGACAAUGGGCGCAAGCCUGAUCCAGCAAUGCCGCGUGCAGGAUGAAGGCCUUCGGGUUGUAAACUGCUUUUGUACGGAACGAAAAGCCCUCUUCUAAUACAGGAGGGUCAUGACGGUACCGGAAGAAUAAGCACCGGCUAACUACGUG